rnacentral:rRNA from 1 species
GAUAUUGGUCAAUUGGGGGAACCCUGAACCAGCGACACCGCGUGAGGGAAGAAGGUCNNNGGAUUNUCACCCUCUGUUGUCGGNGACNAUAAUGACGGUACCCGAUGAGGAAGUCACGGCUAACUACUUGCCCGCAGCCGAGGUAAUACGUAGGUGGCAAGCGUUGUGCGGAAUUACUGGGUGUAAAGGGAGCGUAGGCGGGAAGGUAAGUUGAAUGUUAAAUCUAUCGGCUCAACCGAUAGCCGCGUUCAAAACUGUCUUGCUUGAGUGAAGUAGAGGCAGGCAGGAUUCCUAGUGUAGCGGUGAAAUGAGUAGAGAUUAGGAGGAAUACCAGUGGCGAAGGCGGCUUGCUGGGCUUUUACUGACGCUGAGGCUCGAAAGUGUGGGGAGCAAACA